rnacentral:tRNA from 1 species
AAAGCUUUAAGUUAAUAAAACUAUUAGCCUUCAAAGCUUAAAAUAUGAAAGAUAUUCAUAAGCUUUA